rnacentral:rRNA from 1 species
GACGAACGCUGGCGGCGUGCCUAAUACAUGCAAGACGAGCGCAGGAAGCCGUCUGAACCCUUCGGGGGGACGACGGUGGAAUGAGCGGCGGACGGGUGAGUAACACGUAAAGAACCUGCCCAUAGGUCUGGGAUAACCACGAGAAAUCGGGGCUAAUACCGGAUGUGUCAUCGGACCGCAUGGUCCGCUGAUGAAAGGCGCUCCGGCGUCGCCCAUGGAUGGCUUUGCGGUGCAUUAGCUAGUUGGUGGGGUAACGGCCCACCAAGGCGACGAUGCAUAGCCGACCUGAGAGGGGGAUCGGCCACACUGGGACUGAGACACGGCCCAGACUCCUACGGGAGGCAGCAGUAGGGAAUCUUCCACAAUGGACGAAAAUCUGAUGGAGCAACGCCGCGUGAACGAUGAAGGCUUUCGGGUCGUAAAGUUCUGUUGUAAGGGAAGAACAAGUGCCGCAGGCAAUGGCGGCACCUUGACGGUACCUUGCGAGAAAGCCACGGCUAACUACGUGCCAGCAGCCGCAGUAA